rnacentral:rRNA from 1 species
GACGAACCGUGCGAACGUUGUUCGGAAUCACUGGGCUUAAAGGGCGCGUAGGCGGCCAGCACAAGUCAGUUGUGAAAUCUCCGAGCUUAACUCGGAAAGGUCAACUGAUACUGUGCGGCUAGAGUGCAGAAGGGGCAACUGGAAUUCUUGGUGUAGCGGUGAAAUGCGUAGAUAUCAAGAGGAACACCUGCGGCGAAGGCGGGUUGCUGGGCUGACACUGACGCUGAGGCGCGAAAGCUAGGGGAGCGAACGGG